rnacentral:rRNA from 1 species
GUGUCAGCAGCCGCGGUAAGACGUAGGGUCCGAGCGUUGUCCGGAGUUACUGGGCGUAAAGGGCGCGUAGGCGGUUCCACGCGUCACACGUGAAAGCCCCUGGCUUAACCAGGGAGGGUCGUGUGAAACGGUGGAACUGGAGGCAGAGAGAGGCUGGUGGAAUUCCCGGAGUAGUGGUGAAAUGCGUAGAUAUCGGGAGGAACACCGGUGGCGAAGGCGGCCAGCUGGCUCUGACCUGACGCUGAGGCGCGAAGGCGUGGGGAGCGAACGGGAUUAGAUACCCGCGUAGUCC